GAUGAACGAUGGCGGCGUGCCUAAUACAUGCAAGUCGAGCGAACAGAUGAGGAGCUUGCUCCUCUGACGUUAGCGGCGGACGGGUGAGUAACACGUGGAUAACCUACCUAGAAGACUGGGAUAACUUCGGGAAACCGGAGCUAAUACCGGAUAAUAUAUUGAACCGCAUGGUUCAAUAGUGAAAGACGGUUUUGCUGUCACUUAUAGAUGGAUCCGCGCCGCAUUAGCUAGUUGGUAAGGUAACGGCUUACCAAGGCAACGAUGCGUAGCCGACCUGAGAGGGUGAUCGGCCACACUGGAACUGAGACACGGUCCAGACUCCUACGGGAGGCAGCAGUAGGGAAUCUUCCGCAAUGGGCGAAAGCCUGACGGAGCAACGCCGCGUGAGUGAUGAAGGUCUUCGGAUCGUAAAACUCUGUUAUUAGGGAAGAACAAAUGUGUAAGUAACUAUGCACGUCUUGACGGUACCUAAUCAGAAAGCCACGGCUAACUACGUG
rnacentral:rRNA from 1 species